rnacentral:rRNA from 1 species
UACGGAGGGUGCGAGCGUUGUCCGGAAUCACUGGGCGUAAAGGGCGCGUAGGCGGCGCGGAUAGUCGGCGGUGAAAGCCCGGAGCUCAACUCCGGGUCGGCCGUCGAUACUUCCGGGCUUGAGCACUGUAGAGGCAGAUGGAAUUCCGGGUGUAGCGGUGGAAUGCGUAGAGAUCCGGAAGAACACCGGUGGCGAAGGCGGUCUGCUGGGCAGUUGCUGACGCUGAGGCACGAAGGCCAGGGGAGCAAACGGG